rnacentral:pre_miRNA from 1 species
AUUGUGUCAGCCUGUCGUUCUAGAAAUUAGAACGUCAGGCUGACACAAU